AGGGUAGAGUAACGCCAUGGUAAGGCGUAAGUCAUCGGUUCAAAUCCGAUAAAGGGCU
rnacentral:tRNA from 1 species